UAAUAAAGUAACAAGUAAUAACAAAUCAAAUGUGCUAGGGAAUAACAAUAACAUGACAAAUGAGUCGCAAGUUUUCUUCUGAAGACUUGCAUUACACGCAUGAUGGAAAAUGUUGAAUUGUCUUCCUUCCGUUGCAAGAAAAUAUAUAUGAAUCAAAGAUAUUUAGUGAAUAUGUCAGUCAGUCAACUUUGGGUUCAUAAUGAAUAUGGCAAAGGCAACCCACAUCAACUGAUCUUACAACUUGGCAGAUAAUCAACCACGUUAUACAUAGGGUAAAUAUUAAGGACUUAAGGUAAAUAGUCUAAAGGACCUCUUUAAACUAGACUUGUAAAUGGACCAGAUCGACCUAGAUCUAGAUCUGGAUCCGUUACCUGUCGGAUCAUAGAUAGCUCUAUCUAAAUCUGGAUCCGGCGGGUUAACGGAUACCCGAUCCGUUAAUCCGAUCCGUUUAUAAUAAUAAAUAUUUUUAAAUUUUAAAUAAUAAUUUCUUAAUUUUAUCAUUAAAUUUUCAUAAAACACUAAUGAAAUAUUAUAACAAAAUAAAAGUUUACAUCAAAAGUUGAAUUACAUGGCCAAAAUACUCUUUAACAAUAAACUACUAUCAUCAAAAUAUAAGACCUCCAAUGUUUUUAGCAAAGAGCAUAAAAAGAACAUAAGCAUAAGUAACCCUUCAACUUUAUCAAAUCAUAUACUAGACCUGUAAAUGGACCAGAUCGACCCUUCAACUUCAUCAAAUCAUAUACAUAGGGUAAAUAUUAAGGACUUAAGGUAAAUGAGUCCAAAGGACCUCUUUAAACUAGACUUGUAAAUGGACUAGAUCGACCUAGAUCUGGAUCCAUUACCUGCCGGAUCAUAGAUAGCUUUAUCUAAAUCCGGAUCUGGCGGGUUAACGGAUACCCGACCCGUUAAUCCGAUCCGUUUAUAAUAAUAAAUAUUUUUAAAUUUUAAAUAAUAAUUUCUUAAUUUUAUCAUUAAAUUUUCAUAAAACACUAAGGAAAUAAUAUAACAAAAUAAAAGUUUACAUCAAAAGUUGAAUUACAUGGCCAAAAUACUCCUUAACAAUAAACUACUAUCAUCAAAAUAUAAGACCUCCAAUGUUUUUAGCAAAGAGCAUAAAAAGAACAUAAGCAUAAGUAACCCUUCAACUUCAUCAAAUCAUAUACUUUAAACGCAAUUUAGACGUACACUUAGGUUAUCUAAAUAAUUAUUAUAUUAUUUAAUAUUUAUCAGUAAUAUUAUAUUUAUAAAAAUAUUAUUUAAACGGAUCCGGGUCCUUAACGGAUCAGAUCAACCUCGAUCCGUAUCUGAUCUGUUUAAUAAACUGGUUAACGGAUCAACGGGUCAAAUUUUUGAUCCAAACCCGUUUAAAAACUAUGGAUCCGGUCCAUUUACAAGUCUACUUUAAACUCUUAAGUGAGAAUGUUUUUAGUUAUAACAUGUAUUUGACAAUCAAAGUCACUCAUUUCCUAGUUACCUACCCACAUAUGAAUCAUACAAAAAAUUAGCCAAGAAUUAGUAUAAUCCUAAUUGAGAAUCAUUGUUUGGAUUUUAUGAUAUAGAGUUUUAAAAUGACAAGAAUUAAUAUUUAAACUAACCUCAAUUGAUGAAAUUCACAAAUGACGUUUGUUUUGUGAGGAAUUCAAGUCGAGAAUUUAAGCUCCCAAAUUCCAUUAUUAUUUUCCUCUUAGAAAUUACAAAUUUCACGGGAUAAGAAUCCAAGCUCCAAAAAUUGCUCUGGAGUUAUUCUA
rnacentral:lncRNA from 1 species